ACGUUGAUAGGCCGGGUGUGUAAGCGCAGCGAUGCGUUGAGCUAACCGGUACUAAUGAACCGUGAGGCUUAACCUUACAACGCCGAAGCUGUU
rnacentral:rRNA from 4 species